GAGCGUUAAUCGGAAUUACUGGGCGUAAAGCGCACGUAGGCGGCUUGGUAUGUCGGGUGUGAAAUCCCCGGGCUCAACCUGGGAACUGCAUCCGAAACUGCCUUGCUCGAGUAUGGGAGAGGGAAGUGGAAUUUCCGGUGUAGCGGUGAAAUGCGUAGAUAUCGGAAGGAACAUCAGUGGCGAAGGCGGCAUUCUGGACCGAAACUGACGCUGAGGCGCGAAAGCCAGGGGAGCAAACGGG
rnacentral:rRNA from 1 species